AGGCGGAGCUUGCUCUGCUGGAUCAGUGGCGAACGGGUGAGUAACACGUGAGUAACCUGCCCUUGACUCUGGGAUAAGCGUUGGAAACGACGUCUAAUACCGGAUACGAGCUGAGACCGCAUGGUCAUCAGUUGGAAAGAAUUUCGGUCAAGGAUGGACUCGCGGCCUAUCAGCUUGUUGGUGAGGUAAUGGCUCACCAAGGCGACGACGGGUAGCCGGCCUGAGAGGGUGACCGGCCACACUGGGACUGAGACACGGCCCAGACUCCUACGGGAGGCAGCAGUGGGGAAUAUUGCACAAUGGGCGCAAGCCUGAUGCAGCAACGCCGCGUGAGGGAUGACGGCCUUCGGGUUGUAAACCUCUUUUAGUAGGGAAGAAGCGAAAGUGACGGUACCUGCAGAAAAAGCACCGGCUAACUACGUGCCAGCAGCCGCGGUAAUACGUAGGGUGCAAGCGUUGUCCGGAAUUAUUGGGCGUAAAGAGCUCGUAGGCGGUUUGUCGCGUCUGCUGUGAAAACUGGAGGCUCAACCUCCAGCCUGCAGUGGGUACGGGCAGACUAGAGUGCGGUAGGGGAGAUUGGAAUUCCUGGUGUAGCGGUGGAAUGCGCAGAUAUCAGGAGGAACACCGAUGGCGAAGGCAGAUCUCUGGGCCGUAACUGACGCUGAGGAGCGAAAGCGUGGGGAGCGAACAGGAUUAGAUACCCUGGUAGUCCACGCCGUAAACGUUGGGAACUAGAUGUGGGGACCAUU
rnacentral:rRNA from 1 species